GAUGAACGCUGGCGGCGUGCCUAAUACAUGCAAGUCGAGCGAACGGACGAGAAGCUUGCUUCUCUGAUGUUAGCGGCGGACGGGUGAGUAACACGUGGAUAACCUACCUAUAAGACUGGGAUAACUUCGGGAAACCGGAGCUAAUACCGGAUGAUAUUUUGAACCGCAUGGUUCAAAAGUGAAAGACGGUCUUGCCGUCACUUAUAGAUGGAUCCGCGCUGCAUUAGCUAGUUGGUAAGGUAACGGCUUACCAAGGCAACGAUGCAUAGCCGACCUGAGAGGGUGAUCGGCCACACUGGAACUGAGACACGGUCCAGACUCCUGCGGGAGGCAGCAGUAGGGAAUCUUCCGCAAUGGGCGAAAGCCUGACGGAGCAACGCCGCGUGAGUGAUGAAGGUCUUCGGAUCGUAAAACUCUGUUAUUAGGGAAGAACAUAUGUGUAAGUAACUGUGCACAUCUUGACGGUACCUAAUCAGAAAGCCACGGCUAACUACGUG
rnacentral:rRNA from 1 species